GGGUGUAGAAUAAGUGGGAGCUUCGGCNCCGUUGAAAUACCACUACCUUUAUUGUCUUUUUACUUAUUCAAUGAGGCGGNNCUGGGGUUAACAGCCCCACCUUUUGGCUUCAAGGUCAUUUACUGGCCGAUCCGGGUUGA
rnacentral:rRNA from 1 species